rnacentral:lncRNA from 1 species
UGCAGGGUCUGAAUUGCAGUUGGGGGCGCCGUAGAAAUCUCGCCCAGGGCGCGGGUAGUGUUAAAACCGGCACUGCUGGAAGAUACUGAAAUAUAUAAUCUAGAUGCAUCUGUCGACAUUGACUUGGAGGAUUUUAAGAUAGAGAGGACGCGACUGAGGGCUUUCGUUUCUGCAAUAAAAAAAUAAUUAUUCAGACACACUUGAGUUAUUUAAAUUUAUAGUGAAAUCUAAGAUGGAAGAUGCCCUGCCUAAUUAUUUCAAUAAUAAUAAGGAUAUUUUUACAGUUGCCAUAAGCAACCUCAGCUGCGAGAGGAGUUUUUCAAAACUAAAAUUAAUAAAAAAUUAUUGACGAUGUAAAAUGAGUAAUUUACGUUUAAGCAAUAUGGCUAUCUUAUCCGUUGAGCAAGACGUGUGUGAUUAUCAUAAAAAUUAAAAUUAUAAAAAAAUGGAACAAUGCAAGAGAUAACUGGAUGAAAUAUCACAAAAAAGUUAAGGAAUGUAAAUCCGGCUCUGGUGCAAAAAGUCUACGAAAAUAUAAAUUCUACGAUCAAAUGCUCUUUUGUGUAAAAUUGCGACUCGCCGAACAACGGAAGCAAGUAUUACAUCAGAAAAAAACAUCACACAAUCUCACAACAAAGAAACUGACUCACAAACCAAUAAUGACCCUAACCGCACCAGCCAAUACUACCGAUUUAACAAAAUCAAGCAAGAAGAGAAAGACAGACUGUAGCGAAGUUGAUCGACAAAUGCUUACUUUAAUUAAAUCAGUUGAAGAUGAAGACAAGAGUAAGAGUAUGUGUUUUUUCAAAGGUAUUGCUCCGACUGUAGACAAGUAUAGUGAUAACAAUUAUGUUGAAUUCCAAUAUGAAGUCAUUAAAGUUAUGAGAAAUUUAACUCGGAGAAAUCAAGCGUCCAUGCAGCAACAAAAUUACAAUUACAAUAUUAAUCGAAGCUACACUACGGCUACACCCGACUACAGGAUACACGAAUAUCAACCAACACAACCCAUUCCAUCGACAUCCAGGAUGCCCUAUGAAUAUCAGCCAACACAACUCAUUCCAUCCACAUCCAGGAUGCCUCAAGAACUCAUGCAGCAAGAUGAUUCCCAAUCUUCAAUUAUUACUGAAUUAAGUUCAAUCACAUCGCCUGAUUACGAUUUCGAUUUUUCUAAAACUCCUUAAUUUAUUUUUUGAGUAUAAUAAAACAAUUACUACCUACUAAACUUUGUUUUAAUUAAUACAGGUAAUCAAUCCCUUUUCUAUAAUUUGAAAUCGAACAUCUCUUUAACAUACUUUAUCGUAACGGCUAAUCUCACUGCCGGGGAAAUAGAUUUACGCAUGUCAGUAUCCUCGUGUCUUAUUUUAUCAUAUAUGGCUGUUAAUAAUAGUUGAAAGGUUUCUUUCUUCAUCCGAAAAUAAUUGUAAAAUUUAGUUUCAUCUUCUUCCAACUGCGUAAAAAAAGUUUGAAAUGCACCAUAUUUUUCCCUUUCCAAUAAUAUAGGAUGCGCCCACGAUGACCUUUUACGUUUUUCUAUUUCUUUUUGUUUCUUCUUGUACAAAUAGUAGGCCAAUACGAGUUUUUUUUUCUUAUUAUUCGACAUUUCACACGUGUGUAAUCUCUAACUACCAGUUCAAAACUAACGCAUAUAGACGGCAGUCCAUCCAUCCGGUAAAAAAAAUAUGUAUACAAGGAUAGCCGUUUAUUCACGGUCCGUUAUCCGGUGAAAAAAACGGACGUCUACAAGCGCUCUAAGGGUCAUUUGUUGAUUUUUAACGUCGAUACAAAAAAAACUUCCCCUUUUUUGAAGUCGGUUAAAAAUGACAAACGGCCAGUAACACUUAAAAAAAAUACACGGGAAGGGGCGGAAAAAUCGACAACUGCCCCGGGCGGCAGAUUACGCUACGCCACUGCAUAUAUUGUGAAUACUCUAAGCAGAUUCAACAAGGAGCCAAGGUCUGAGCAUUGGGCUGAGGUGAAAAGAGUGAUGAGAUACUUACAAGGCACAAAGGAUUACAAACUUACAUACACCAGGAAUGGUAAAAAAGAAAUCACAGGCUACUGUGAUGCAGACUGGCGAGUGUGCACGUGAUCGGAAGUCGUGCACCGGUUAUAUUUUUAUGUUUCAGGGAGGCGCGAUUUCAUGGUGUUCCCGCAAGCAGCAGACCAUCGCUCUGUCAACCGCUGAGGCCGAGUAUAUGGCCAUGGGGAGUGCCGCGCAGGAGGCUCUCUGGCUGCGACAGCUGCGAGCAGAACUCGGACGCGGCUCCGACACGUUACUGAUAUACAGUGACAAUCAGAGCUCUAUCAAGUUAACAGUCAGCGACUGCUACUUACCCAGAUCUAAGCACAUAGAUAUACGAUAUCUUUUUAUAAAGGACCAUGUUUUUAAUAAUGAGUUAAAAUUUUGGAGAACAUGCAACCAAACAAAUGGCAACUCAACAGCUAUUGGUAAUUCACAUUCAGUAGAUAAUUAUGAUGAAGAGAUGGGUUGUUACAUAUCAGAAGAAGUAGUACUGCUGAAAGAUUCAUCAAAGGAGCCUUCACUUAACACUCUGGUACGCCAGGAUUAACAACAAUGGCCAUCAAUGUCGCCAACAAUGUUGUUUUAUUCGUCCAUUUUUACCCUAAACCUCGACUUUUUGGUAUAUUAUACCCCGUGCAAGACAGCUUUGUAAUUUUGGCAUAAAGCUAUCUUGGACGAGGUAUAAUAUAUCAAAAAAAAGAAAAAUAACUAUUAGAUCCUUGUUGUGCCUAGUACAUAUACAUUAUAGCUAUAGUUAGAGCUAUAGCGAAGUGUGACUGCAUCGUUAGCCGAGAGAAGGCGCCAUACCAGAACCAAUGAAUAAUGAAGAUAUUAUACGUGAUUUCAGUUCUGAUACUGAUACAGAUUAUAUACCAGAUAGUAUCUCAGACUCGUCUGAUGAUGAUAUAAAGCAGUGAGAUCUAGGAAAAUCAGUGUUACAGCUAUAGUCCACCGUGAUGAUAUAAACAACACACACACAGCGAAAGGGGGUGUAUGACUGUAGAUACCGAUUCCGAAUAUGAAAAUAUGGACGAAUACAUAGAACAAUGCCUGAAAAUCCAAGAAGAUGAAGAAAACAUUGAACCAAAUGCAAAACUUUUAUGAUGAAAGUUCGUUACAAUUAAAAAAAGACGACUGGCUUGUAGUUCAGUUUACUACGAAAAAAAGUGUCAAACAUUUCAUAGGUACAAUUUUAUCGAUUGAAGAUAAAUUACCAGUUGUAAAAUUUGUACGAAAGGUAAAACAGUCAAAAUCUGAAACAACGUUUAGUUAUCCUAUUGUAGAGGAUAUCUGUGUUAUUAAAUCUAAAGCAGAUAUAAUUUGUGUCUUACCUCAGCCCGUUAUUUCUCGACGUGGUCAACUAAUAUUAAAAGUUGAUCACAAUAAAUAUAAUAUCCAGUAAUAUUUUUUAAUUCUUACGUUGUUUUAUAUUAUUAGUUAUUGGUGAAACACUAAAAACCUCUGAGGAUCGUAUGACUUGGAUCAUAAAAAAAUAUUUUGUGCCAUGUUUUUUAAUAAUUCAUUAGUUUUUUUUUAAUUCGUUAGAAUUUCAUGCAAAAUAAAAUACAACGAUCCGUUCCGACCUCAGAACGUAUCUAGUGCUUUUACUAAGCUAAACAGUUCAUUGUUAAACGUAUUAAAGUCUAAAACAAAUAAAAAUGUAAUGUAUUAUUAAAGUUCACAGAACAAAAGUUGCAGUUUAUGGUUGUUUUUACCAAUAACCCUGUAUUUUUCUGUUUUCAGUGAUUUUUUGCAUUGUAAUGAACGCACGAAGGGUGUUUUAAAAUGUUCUAGAAUUUUAAUGUUAAUUUGGCAGUGAUUUAAUAGUACUGUUUACGUUUAUAAAGGCAAGAGUGCCUAGUUUUGUUGUUUUUUUUAUUAAUUAUUAAGGUAUGCAAAAAUACGAGUACGUUAUUUUCAUAUUAAAUUCUUGACCGUUAUUUGAAGCUUACUAGUUUGAGAUAGGCUGCACCUACGUGUUUUCCGCUUUUAUCUCCGUCCUUUUCUACCCCACAUCUUGCAUCUCUCUCGCACACCGACCAGUUUCACUCUCCAGCAGGCAGGAGGCGACGAGUGUUCUCGGCGCCACUCGGCGGCCAUAGUUCGUCAUUGGCGUCUUGUUUUCCGCCCGUGAAGGUUGGUCUGACCAACCGCUGUAGUAUUUCGUUGAAAAAUAAACUCAGUGCUCUCGCAGAACACAGGUACAGUAGACCGCACAUCAGUGGUAACUGUCAUGCACCUUAACUCAAUAGUAAUAAGUACGACUUUUCUAUAAAACUGUUACCACUAACCUGAAGUUGACUGUACAUAUGUACAUACAUAUACAGGUAUAUAUGUACAUAUUCGUAAUCGGCAUUUAAAGAACAAUAGGUGUGAAAACCCUAAAUAUUGAUUUAGAUUACACAAAUCUGAUAUAACCUGUGGCACUCUUACAACUUAGACUAAUGUAAUGAUACCUUACAAGCUAAAAUGCGACAAGCCAUUCAGGCUUUAGAGCGUGCCAAAGAAAUAUACAUACAUAUAUAGGUACAUACACCACUUGAAAAACAUAACCCGCUGUCUGGAACAGGCACGGUAAAUAGCUAAACUAUAUUAUUUUUUGUAUUUACAGGUUCUCGAUGCAAGUUUCCAAGCUGGGUUGAAUGUCACUGCUACUGUGUCUGAUAACUUUGGUGUGAACAUCAGAGCAUUAAACUCCCCUGGUUCCUCAGUGGCUCGACCAUUUUUUGAUUUUAACGGCCAUGAAAUUGUUACGAUUAUGGACCCACCUCACCUAAUUAAAUGCUUCAGAAAUAAUUUGCUCAAGUACAACAUCAAAUGCCCUCCAGUUUUUCAAAAUGAUGGAAAAUCUGUACCAGGAAUAGCCAAAUGGAGCCACAUAAAAAGAAUUUUAUGAAAAAGAUAACGUAAAUCCGAAUUUUGUUUUUGUCCCUGCUUUAACCAAGCUGCAUAUUGAACCAAACUUUAAGCAAAAAAUAAAGGUCAGCUUAAGCUAAGCUGACCAAGUCUUCAGCCAUUCAGUUGCUGCAGGAAUGCUUGCGAUCCUAACUAAUAUUAUAAAUGUGAAAGUGUGGAUUUUUGGAUGUUUGUUACUUAUUUAUGCAAAAACGGCUAAACGGAUUCGGAUGAAAUUUGGCAUGCAUAUGGAAAAGAAUAAAAGAACGUAGGCUAUAUAACAUCACGCUAUAAAAUGUCGCUAUUUCAUAAUAAUGAAUUUUAAAAAUUGCCUUGCUUUAACAAUAGUUAAAAAUAAGUGUUCACUUUCCAGAUGAACUGAAAAAAUGAACAAACUGUUCGACACCUUAAAUGGUGAUACGCCGGAUCGGAAACGAGGCAAAAAAUUUAUCACAAAUUUUACGCGAAAAAGUCCACAUUUAAAUUAUUUCAAAGAAAUGAAAGCUAUGUUUGAAGGAUUAGUAUUUAUUGCCUUCUUUGGAGGGUUUUAUAAGAACUUUAGAUGCAGUUGAGCGUCUAUUUUUUAACUUAGAAAAACAGUACAACAUCAAAAGUUUAUCAACGCGCAGACUGAAUCAAGACCCUGUUACAAAACUGUUUUGGUUGCAUCCGCAGCAAUUGUGGAUGCAACCCAAACCCAAACACCCUACAAUUAGUUGCAGCUCUUAAAACUGCUAUUAUUAAUAAUUUAUUGCAUAGCGGUAAAAAUAAAAACUGCAAAGAUAAUAAUAUAUUAUUAAAUGAUUUACAAUCUUUCCUAACGCAACCAAACCCCAACAAAGAAACAAAUGUAGCUGAUGUUGAAACAUUUGAUUUUACGGCAGCUGUAGAAACAUCUAACAUUGUAAUAUCCCAGUGUUCAGGAGAACUGCAAGCUUGCGCAUAU